AGACCUUUGUUCAUGUGUUUAUCUGCUGACCUUCUCUCCACUAUUAUCCUAUGACCCUGCCACAUCACCCUCUCCGAGAAACACCCAAGAAUGAUCAAUAAAUACUAACGGAACUCAGAGGCCGAGGCUUUUCUCUAGGGUGAAGGUACGCUCGAGUGUGGUCAUUGAGGACAAGUCGACGAAGAGAUCCUGAGUACGUCUACAGUCAGCCUUACGGUAAGCUUGUGCACUCGGAAGAAGCCAGGGUAACAAUGGGGCAAACUAAAAGUAAAUAUGCCUCUUAUCCCAGCUUUAUUAAAAUUCUUUUAAAAAGAGGGGGAGUUAGAGUAUCUACAAAAAAUCUAAUCAAG
rnacentral:lncRNA from 1 species